UUUUUCUAGUACGAAAGGACCGAAAAAACAUGGCCUAUACUUUAUGCAAGCCAUAAUUAUUAACUUAUGAUAAAAUCUCAAUAAGUACUUAACCCAACACUAAACUCAAAAAAAGAGUA
rnacentral:rRNA from 1 species